AGAGUUUGAUCCUGGCUCAGGACGAACGCUGGCGGCGCGCCUAACACAUGCAAGUCGAACGAGAGAUGAGGAGCUUGCUCUUCAGAUCGAGUGGCGAACGGGUGAGUAACGCGUGAGGAACCUGCCUCGAAGAGGGGGACAACAGUUGGAAACGACUGCUAAUACCGCAUAAGCCCACGGCUCGGCAUCGAGCAGAGGGAAAAGGAGUGAUCCGCUUUGAGAUGGCCUCGCGUCCGAUUAGCUAGUUGGUGAGGUAACGGCCCACCAAGGCGACGAUCGGUAGCCGGACUGAGAGGUUGAACGGCCACAUUGGGACUGAGACACGGCCCAGACUCCUACGGGAGGCAGCAGUGGGGAAUAUUGCACAAUGGGGGAAACCCUGAUGCAGCGACGCCGCGUGGAGGAAGAAGGUCUUCGGAUUGUAAACUCCUGUUGUUGAGGAAGAUAAUGACGGUACUCAACAAGGAAGUGACGGCUAACUACGUGCCAGCAGCCGCGGUAAAACGUAGGUCACAAGCGUUGUCCGGAAUUACUGGGUGUAAAGGGAGCGCAGGCGGGAGAACAAGUUGGAAGUGAAAUCCAUGGGCUCAACCCAUGAACUGCUUUCAAAACUGUUUUUCUUGAGUAGUGCAGAGGUAGGCGGAAUUCCCGGUGUAGCGGUGGAAUGCGUAGAUAUCGGGAGGAACACCAGUGGCGAAGGCGGCCUACUGGGCACCAACUGACGCUGAGGCUCGAAAGUGUGGGUAGCAAACAGGAUUAGAUACCCUGGUAGUCCACACCGUAAACGAUGAUUACUAGGUGUUGGAGGAUUGACCCCUUCAGUGCCGCAGUUAACACAAUAAGUAAUCCACCUGGGGAGUACGACCGCAAGGUUGAAACUCAAAGGAAUUGACGGGGGCCCGCACAAGCAGUGGAGUAUGUGGUUUAAUUCGACGCAACGCGAAGAACCUUACCAAGUCUUGACAUCCCUUGACGAACAUAGAAAUAUGUUUUCUCUUCGGAGCAAGGAGACAGGUGGUGCAUGGUUGUCGUCAGCUCCGUGCCUGAGAAUGUUGGGUUAAGUCCCGCAACGAGCGCAACCCUUUAUGGUCAGUUACUUACGCAAGAAGGACUUGGGCCCAGAUUGCCCUUUGACAAAAACGGAGGAGAGGUGGGGGAGAACGUCAAAACCUCCUUGGCCCUUUAUAGACUUGGGGUUACCAACGGUACCACAAAGGGGGUUAAACAAAAGAAAACCAAGACCCCCCGAGUGGGGCGAAAAUUUAAAGAACAACGUUCCCAGUUCGGACUGCAGGCUGCAACUCGCCUGCACGAAGUCGGAAUUGCUAGUAAUCGUGGAUCAGCAUGCCACGGUGAAUACGUUCCCGGGCCUUGUACACACCGCCCGUC
rnacentral:rRNA from 1 species